rnacentral:rRNA from 1 species
UAAUACGAUGGAAGGAUCCUAAACACGCCCGAUCUCGUCUGAUCUCGGAAGCUAAGCAGGGUCGGGCCUGGUCAGUACUUGGAUGGGAGACCGCCUGGGAAUACCAGGUGCUGUAAGCU